CUAGAAUAAAAGUAGUUAAGUUCUUCAAAACUCAAAGAAUUUGGCGGUUAAUAAAAUUUUCAGAGGAACCUGUUGUUUAAUUGAUAAACCACGAUAGUUUAUACCUUUUUUUUACUUGUAUAUCUCUAUAAAGAGGAAUGUUUUAAAAGAAUGGAUUUUCUUUUUGAUUAUUCAUUAAUAUUAGGUCAAGGUGCAGUUUUACAAAGGUUAUUAUGGGUUAUUAUAUUGUAUAUUUAUUAGGAAAUAUUUUAUAAUUUUAUAGGAUUUGAAAGUAAAAUAGAUUAAUUAAUUUGUUUGAAUUUU
rnacentral:rRNA from 1 species